rnacentral:lncRNA from 1 species
UCAUUUCAUUUAACCAACACUUCAGUUAUAAAACAUAAUAGUUUACAAUUUAAAUUUAUUAUUCUUUAAAAUCAUAAAAAUGAGUAUAAACUACUUUAGAUAGUUAAGAUGAUUGUCUGUUUACUCACUAUAACGGGAGUACUCCUACUCCUGGUCCUCGGGUACGAUAUCCUUACCCUUACCAGAGAGCUCACCACCUAUACAUAAUACAUAACAAGUAAUUCAAUAUAUUUAUGCCAAACUGUUAUAAAACUAUUUCAGGCUCUUUAUGAAUGCAUGAAAUUGAAUGAGAAGUGUUCGAAUAAUCAUUUAAAGAUGGUGUUCUACGUAGGUUCAAUGAUUGUUGGACUGAAAUGGUGUUCGAGCUAUCUCGCACUAUACACUGUUUAAUUAGCCAAAACAUCCAAUUCAACUCCAAAUAGAUUCAUUGCACUUUCGGUACUCCAAUAAGUCCGUAUACCUAAUUAGAAAUCAAUUCUAAGUCCAUUUACUAUAAUUUUCUCAUUAUCAUUCAAGUCGUUUACUAAAGCAACUAUACUUUUCGAUAACCAUUUUCGAUAUCCGACAUCACGAAUCAUCAAAUACGAGCUAGAUAACAUGAAAUGUGACAAAAUUCAUCUUCAAAAUAUUCCCUAUAGAAUUCGGCCAAUUAGGAUUUGAUGAAGAAUAUGUUAUUUUCUUGCUUGUUUUUCAUACCAAAUAUCACAAAACACUAAAAACACCUAGAUAGCUUGAAAUCUAUCAAAAACCAUCAUCAAAACCUUCCCCCCUUGAUUCGGCCAGCAUGCUUCCAUCAUGAAAACUUGAGUUUCAACCAUAGAAAAUGAAAAAGAAAGCAUGGGUAAGGUAGAUCUUAAGCUAAAUCGCGAAAUCUUACAUCCGAUCGCUUCGUUUUUCAAAAAUCUAAUGAAUUUCUCUUGAAUUUUUCCUCCUUAGGGCUUUUCUAUUCUUUCCCUCUUUGUUC